GAUACUCUCCCUUUCCUAGUUCACAAACUCUGUGUCAGGAAUUGCUUUAGUGGCUUUACCUCAUUGAAUGCUCUCACUUUAAGCUUAUGAAGGUGACAUUAUUAUGAUCACUUCCAUAAAACACAGAGUUUAAAUAAUUUGUCCAAGGCUUCAGAGCAAAACCAGGACUCAAAUCCAGGCACUUCAGCUCCGGAGUCUACAUUUUCAACGUCUAUGCUGAGCUCCCUUUUGCUUAUGUCUUCUUCAUUCCCAAUGCCACCUAGUUUCCACAGAUUAGAAUGCUGCCAUAAUGCUUUGCAUCGUCAGCAUUCCCAGGGAAAUACAAAAACCACCUUUGUUAACCAGAGUGAACAUGACUAACAUUGACAAAUACAAUCUGCGCUCAACUUGCCGGAAUCAAUUUAUGUAAAUUAGACAUUACCACAAUGUCUUUAGAAGGAACUCAUUCAUUAACUUAACAAGUACUCAUCGAAUGUCCACUACAUGGCAGGCAUUAAGCUAGAUAUAUAGGGGUGUGCAGUGUGGGAAAGGCCAUUUGAUAGCCUCAUCUGACUCUUUGAUGACAUCUCAGAAAAUACAGCUUCCAUCAAAAUAUUCCAAAUUAUCACGUUUUAAAUUCAUCCUAGGCAUAAACUUUAGAGUACCAAAUUCCAGGUCUCAGGAGAUGGCCUACUUCUGAGAGGAAGCAGCAAAACAAAUAAAUAAAAAUAAAAAUAUUAUAUAUUGUGUAAAAAUACUGCAUAUUCACUCUUAAAAAUUUUUUUUAAUUUAUCAAAUUAUAGGGGAGGGGUUAAAAAUGUUAAAUUUAUGCCUUUCUGAUAUUUCUACCUUAGCAAUAGCACUUUUGGAAGAUUUGGGGGUGGGGCAUUUGAAAAGAAAACAGUGAUUUGAUAUAAAUCAAUCAGCAAACAAGUCUAGAAACAUGACAAGAGUUUUGGUCAAAGGUUUUAUGCCCCAUGCUUUCAAUGACCUCUGAAAGCAUAGUAUCAGACAAUUGGUUGGAGAAAGAGUGAAGGUUGCAGCUCUAUUAUAUAGUAAUUUCAUGUCAAAAAGGAAUUAAUUGUCUAGUCCCUUUGUGCUCUUGAUAGUUGUGGUCAAUGAAUUGAUCUGACACUGAAAAUUAAUGCCUGCCAUAUAUUUUGUGUGAAAUGAUGAUACUAUGCUCACCAAGUUGUCAAGGCAGGCUGUUACCUUCACUGAGAAAUCUAUCUGAAGAUUAGCUUUUACAAUAAACUGAAAAGUCUGUCCGUUGUAUCAAUCAACUAUACUUUCUAUUCAGCAAUGAAGUUCUGCGUACUCAGCCAGAAGAUCAAAGUCGUCGUGAGCCCAGGUAAAGCCUAACUGAAGGUUUACAUGUGGCACCUGGGGGACAGCCAAAAUAGAACAACAGGGGGAAUGAAUGGACCAUGCUAUCUCUGCCAUCAGUCAAACAGAAGAAUCCUUUUAGGAAUUUAGGAGGUGCACAAUUCAAAUUUUGCUCAAGGAACUAACAUAUGAAGUCUACGUGACCUUCAGUGAUGAUUUCAAAGACUUCAGUUUGAAACGUUAGCAGUAUACCACUUUUCUCAUGUGUUAUGUCUGGGGUCUUCCUAAAUAUUAAAAACCUCAAGUCUUGUCAAAAUAUUCUUGGAAAAUCUUUUGAAUUGUUGAUGAUGAACAGCACAAAACCCUUGGUUUUGUAUGUAUAACCUGCAGAUGUUUUCAAACUUUCUACGAGUUGGUGUUUCUCUGUGACCCUCAUCUAAUGAUUUCAUACUUUUUCCCCCCCGGAUUUAAAGAUUCCAUCGUCUCCCACAUGGCCUGAGGAUCUUUGUAAAUGGACAGAAAACCCUUAAAAUCAUUCACACAGUACUUUUCUUACGUCACACUAGUUCACGAGGCUGUGGCUCCACAAGGACAACUAAACACUUGAAAAAGAAGAGGAUUAACAUCAGUGAGACUGGAAAACCAAGAGGAACUUAAUGAUUAAAUCAAUAUCACUGUUUGAUCUUGGCCUCCGAUCAGCACAUACCUGCCAGUUGACCCCAUGGCAAUCACGAGGACAGCAUUUACUUUUGCCCUCACACCCAUAAAGCAUAGUCGUCGUCACACACAGACUGAGAGAACCAACAAGAGAAAUUCAAAUAUGCACCCCUAACUAAUCCCAGAAGAUGCCUCACUCCUAUGUAGCCCACCUGCAGUGUUCCCAUCCUGACAGCCUCUAAUCAGUGUGUACCUGAGGCCAUUCCUUCUUCCACUGGAAAGCUCUGCCCCCUCUCUUCGAGCUGCUGCCAAACACGAGUGAUGGUGGCCAACCCCCUUUGCAAGGGAAAGUUCUGAAUAAAGAACCUCUCCUUGUUCUCAUUUGAGUGCGCUUCACUUAUUUCCAUAGUUCUCAUGAGCAUUGAGAUACGGCAUGCAAUGCCCAUUGCUGUGGCCCCGUCCUUUGACCAGGCGCCACUAGAAAAGACACAAAGACCCCUUGUGCCGAGCUGCUCCCAGCUUGUCAAGUCUGCAC